GUGGGACGUGACACGCUUGGGGCAGAGGGAAUUUUAAAUGGGCAAAUGUGGGGAAUGCCCUGCCCUGUCCCAUGACUGACUCAGCUCAUUUCCAAGUGCAGGAAGGGGCUCUCCAGCCAUCCCAGUUGCUGCAGCUGUGCAACCCAGGGCUAACAGUAUUUCUGCACAAAAGUACUGUACUUGGCUGUCUCUGAGGUGAAGGAGCAGCUUAACACCUCUAACCAAGGCAGCAAGGGGCAGCCCUCCCAGCACUGACCUUUCCUCAUUCCAGCCUCCUAAAAGGAAGCAAGCCAGCAGCAUGCCUAGGCCCCCAUGUGCUCUGCAGGAGGAGCUGACACUGGAAGCGCCAGCACAGAUCCUGAACAUAAUUACAGGCUGAUAUUUGCGCUGACUGCAGGUGGCCAUUGAAGUUACUGACACAUGUGGAAACAUAUUUUAUACUCUGUUUAUACUUUCAUUUUCCCCAUGAUUUAAACCUGGCACCAAAAUAACUUGUCCAGUCAUUACAGGGAGAACGAAUAAAAGCUUGUCAUUGAAAA